rnacentral:lncRNA from 1 species
CGCUGGGUGCAAGUUGUUUGUUCGUUUGUGUGCAGCCACUGAAGACGAUUGUUUUUUAUAUUCCUAUUGCUUUGAUAAACCUAGUUUCAUAACCGAGGGAAAUGCUUACCCACAUUGUGUUGUGAUAACCCGUCCCUCUUCACGAAAAACCCCACGCAUAUCACAAGUAUCAAGAAGGGUUUGUGGCACCAUUGACGGGGAAUAUCAUCACCAACUACCAAGUAACUUCAAACAAAUUUCCAAUCACUUGUUAUUCUUUUUAUUUGUUAGUAUAUUUAGCUUAUCUCAUAAAAACAAAAGAAAAAAA